rnacentral:rRNA from 1 species
GUAGUUUGAUCCUGGCUACAGAACGAACGCUGGCGGCAGUCUUAACACAUGCAAGUCGAACGCAUCCUUCGGGGUGAGUGGCAGACGGGUGAGUAACGCGUGGGAACAUGCCCUUUAGUUUGGAAUAACCCAGGGAAACUUGGGCUAAUACCGGAUACGCCCUACGGGGGAAAGAUUUAUCGCUGAAGGAGUGGCCCGCGUCUGAUUAGCUAGUUGGUGAGGUAAUGGCUCACCAAGGCGACGAUCAGUAGCUGGUCUGAGAGGAUGAUCAGCCACACUGGGACUGAGACACGGCCCAGACUCCUACGGGAGGCAGCAGUGGGGAAUAUUGGACAAUGGGCGCAAGCCUGAUCCAGCCAUGCCGCGUGAGUGAUGAAGGCCUUAGGGUUGUAAAGCUCUUUCGGCGGGGACGAUAAUGACGGUACCCGCAGAAGAAGCCCCGGCUAACUUCGUG